rnacentral:rRNA from 1 species
CAUGCAAGUCGAGGGGAAACGACAUCGAAAGCUUGCUUUUGAUGGGCGUCGACCGGCGCACGGGUGAGUAACGCGUAUCCAACCUGCCCAUCACUUGGGGAUAACCUUGCGAAAGUAAGACUAAUACCCAAUGAUAUCUCUAGAAGGCAUCUGAAAGAGAUUAAAGAUUUAUCGGUGAUGGAUGGGGAUGCGUCUGAUUAGCUUGUUGGCGGGGUAACGGCCCACCAAAGCAACGAUCAGUAGGGGUUCUGAGAGGAAGGUCCCCCACAUUGGAACUGAGACACGGUCCAAACUCCUACGGGAGGCAGCAGUGAGGAAUAUUGGUCAAUGGACGAGAGUCUGAACCAGCCAAGUAGCGUGCAGGAUGACGGCCCUAUGGGUUGUAAACUGCUUUUAUAAGGGAAUAAAGUGAGUCUCGUGAGACUUUUUGCAUGUACCUUAUGAAUAAGGACCGGCUAAUUCCGUGCCAGCAGCCGCGGUAAUACGGAAGGUCCGGGCGUUAUCCGGAUUUAUUGGGUUUAAAGGGAGCGUAGGCCGGAGAUUAAGCGUGUUGUGAAAUGUAGAUGCUCAACAUCUGCACUGCAGCGCGAACUGGUUUCCUUGAGUACGCACAAAGUGGGCGGAAUUCGUGGUGUAGCGGUGAAAUGCUUAGAUAUCACGAAGAACCCCGAUUGCGAAGGCAGCUCACUGGAGCGCAACUGACGCUGAAGCUCGAAAGUGCGGGUAUCGAACAGGAUUAGAUACCCUGGUAGUCCGCACGGUAAACGAUGGAUGCCCGCUGUUGGUCUGAAUAGGUCAGCGGCC